AAAAUACUAAGAGGAAGUUGCUGGAAUUUGGGAGUACAUACAGAAAACUAGAAUCAAAGAGUGAGAAUUUCGGUUUGCUAGAGUCUUUGCUCGUUUUCUCUGGUUUGUUGUCGGUGUUCGUGGUCGUGUGGUGGAAGAGCUCGUUCCAGCUCGGCUGUCCCAAGUUCGCUGCUCCCCGAAAGUUGCCUUGAGUCCACGAGACUUUUCCCUUGCAUUUGGAAUCGGAUUGAAAUCCAACACCGUUAUCGAGUCAAUCAUAAUGGUGUACAGGUUGGAAAUUGACAAUACUGGCUGGAAGUUGAAUUCUCAUGUUCCGGAAACUCGAAAACAAGCUGAAAUACAACUUGUAUACAGAUGUAUACAUGAGUAUACAGUCGAAAAAUAACAACAUACAGGGAAAAACGUGAGAACUACAGGUGGAAAAGGCGAAAAUACAGAAUUGAAACAAAAUUACAGGUCCGAGAGUCUAAAAAUUAGCGAUAUAUAUGGUGUAUACCUCGGAUAUACACUUCAUGUAUAUCAUGAUCAAUGAAGAUGGAAAUGGGUCAAAAGCCCAAUGAGUUGUUAUUUUUGCAGAUUUAGGAAUUUGUUUGGCCCAAAUUCAAUAUACUUCCUUUCCCUCUCUUAUUUAUUUUAUUGUAUUUGACUAACACUUUGAUUAUCUUAUGAUUCAAUUUAAUUAAAUUCCCC